rfam:Macrophomina phaseolina MS6 contig00755, whole genome shotgun sequence.
AAGGAAUUAGCUCAAUUGGUAGAGCGUCUAUCUUACACAUAGACGGUUAAAGGUUCGAAUCCUUUAUUCCUUA